CNUAGGUAACCUACCCUUAAGACGAGGAUAGCCAUUGGAAACGAUGGAUAAAACUGGAUAGGAUAUAGAGGAAGAAUCUUUUAUAUUUAAAAGAGAGAUCUGCUUAAGGAGGGGCCUGUGGCGCAUUAGCUAGUUGGUGGGGUAAGGGCCUACCAAGGCGAUGAUGCGUAGCCGGACUGAGAGGUUGAACGGCCACAAUGGAACUGAGAACGGUCCAUACUCCUACGGGAGGCAGCAGUAGGGAAUUUUCGGCAAUGGGGGGAACCCUGACCGAGCAACGCCGCGUGAACGAAGAAGUUAUUCGUAAUGUAAAGUUCUUUUAUCAGGGAAGAAAGAGGAAUUUGACGGUACCUGAGGAAUAAGCUCCGGCUAACUACGUGCCAGCAGCCGCGGUAAUACGUAGGGAGCGAGCGUUAUCCGGAAUUAUUGGGCGUAAAGGGUGCGUAGAUGGCAUAGUAAGUCUUUUGUAAAAAUGCUGGGCUCAACCAGUAGGGCAAAAGAUACUGCAAAGCUAGAGUAUGACAGAGGCAAGUGGAACUACAUGUGUAGCGGUAAAAUGCGUAAAUAUAUGUAAGAACACCAGUGGCGAAGGCGGCUUGCUGGGUCGAUACUGACAUUGAAGCACGAAAGCGUGGGGAGCAAACAGGAUUAGAUACCCUGGUAGUCCACGCCCUAAACGAUGAGUACUAAGUGUUGGUGA
rnacentral:rRNA from 1 species